GGUUGGUUUGCUGGGGGGUUGUUUGCAAGUUUUGGGGUUUAUUUGUUAGUUGAUUUUUAAUGGCAAUUAUUUUUAAAACUGGAAAGCAACAAAAUUUUUGCAGAAGUUCUUGAAUUGCUUUUUAAGGACUGCAGACUCACGUGUGCCUUGGUGUCUUUGGUCCCGCGAAGCGAUGCUCUCUGGUGCUGAACCCCCCGAAGCCUGCCCGAGCUCUGCCCUGGUGCCUCCGCGGUGGCCGCAGAAGCUAUGGUUUUACUGGUGGCAGCCCGGUGUUUUGUGUCCCUGCCGUCCCCGAGGGGUGCUGUACCAGCACAGUGCGCCCCGGUUCCAGUGCUGCGCCGAGUGCGGGUGCACCCAGGACCAUGCUUCGUGCGAGAGGACGCUCAGGCUCAGAAAGAUGCGGAGAUCAAACUGCAAAGACUCAGCGACCUGCCUGAAGCCGCGGACACCGGGCAGCCGUCCCGCUCGAGCAGCUCCUGCGCCAGCCUUGUCCCCGUCUGCUUGUUCCCCCGUCUCUCCGCUCCCGGCGGGCUGUGUUGACCUACUGCCCGUGCAGGUACGUGCCAUAAAAUGGCCCUGGCAGGGGAGGUUGUUCUCCAGCCAAACCACGCUCCCGCUCCAGCCUGAGGCUCUCCAGGCGCCGGGGCCGGUGCAGGAACGAGGUGGGCCGGCCGGGCCAGGGCAGGAGCCGUGGUACCGCUGCCGCGCGGCACCGUCCGUGCUGGGCUCAGCCAGGGACCUCAGCGAGCCCACGGCCCUGGUCACUGACCCGGCCACGCAGCCCGUCCUCCCUCAGCAUCCCAGCGGAUGGGCAGGUCGAGCGGGUACUGCUGCUCAGGGGGAGACCUUGGGAGACCUCGCUCAGCAAGACAAGGGGUUCCUCAGUUUCUGCAAGUGCAUGUUGUUUAUAAAUACGUGAUGUACUUAGAAAAGUGCUGUUCAAUUUACCAAUAAUGCUGUAUUUAUUUUUCCCAAUUGUAUCUAGUCACUAAGUAGUAUUUCUGCAUCCUAUUGGCUGACUGAAAUGGUUUCUCAGGAAACUGGCAAUUAAGGAGUAGGAAAAAUGUCUGUGAGUCACAGAUACUUAUAAACAACGAGAAGAGAUUGAUUGGGCUACAGUGGUAAUUGCUCAGACAUGGUGAAGGCCCUGGCAGAAGCACGGCGCUGUGUUCUGGCGACGCAGCCACGGCUCGGGCUGUUUGUCCCUCGAGCCGGCGGAAAGGCCGGACUCGCUGGUCCACGGCGCAGGCACCAUCGUGCCGGCUCUGAGAAAGGACUCGCUUCAGGAGCUUCCCCGAGCUCAGGAACCGCUGGCCCUUUUGCACCGGGGAAGCCGAGUCCUCGCCCCGCGGCCAGGCACCGGUCUGCUGGCGGUGCCCGCUGCUGCUCAGCGCAGCGCCCGCCUGCCCCGCGCUUCCCCUGGGGCUAGUCCCUGCCUCUCGGGCGCUCCCCAGCCCUGCUGUCCCCGUGGUGUGACCGUCGGCGAUGCCUCCACGCUGCUUCCUCCUGGGCUGCCGGUCCAAAGCCCCUGUGUUUUGUGCUUUUUCAGCUGCAGGCAAGCCAACCAGAUGGGGCUUGCCGUUAGGCAAAUGUGAAGAAGGAAAGAAAAGGAUAUUUACGGUUUCUAGCUGUUAUGCUGCCUCUCUGUCAGGAGAGAGGAUUCCCCUUGCCUCAAACUCUUCACGUUUGCUCGUUCGCUCAUGCAAACAGCAACAAAGCUAAAAGAAAAAGACUGCAUGUGCCCUUCCUCUUCGACUCUGCUGUUGGACGGUCUGCGUGGGUAUCUGGGCUGACUCUGCAGAGACCCAGGUCCCUCUUGCAGAGUUUCUUGCAGCCUCACUCUUAGAUCUGGCACCAGCCGAUAGCGGUAGCUCCUUCCUUCCUCCUGGGGGAAGGAUAAGGUGAAGCAGAACAUGUGAAAGGGAAGUGCCCCGAGGAAACCUCGCCUCCCUGUGCUCUCCCAGGCCCUCUGCUCGCAGCUCUCCUUAGAAGUCAUUUAUACGUAGGUUGUGUUUUUUGAGGAUAGCUUGAGACUACUCUGAGCUACCUGCAGCCUCCCCAUCCCUUUUUCUGAAAACGUAAUUUCUCAGCUCCGAGGCAGAAGCUGAGUUGCUGGCACGGAGGCUUUCUCCCCCUUGCACACUUAUUCGGGUCCCAUCUCCAAGGGAUGGUGCACUGGCGAUGGCAGUGCUGAGGAACCGAUCCGCACAGGGAUGAGCAGUUCCACAGGCCUCACAAAAUAAUCCAAGCUCACACACACACAGAAAAGGGAACAACAACAAAAUGAGUGCAAGACCUACUUGCAGGCUCUGGUACGAGCGUGCUAGAGGUGAGAACUUCUGUCAUGGGCAGACUGCAUCCAGCGGGGAUGUCCAUCCACACCAGCAGGAAGAUGACGAAGUGUUGAAAUAGCGGCGAGUAUGGCCCCACAUACAGCGAGGAAUCAGCCAGAAGAUGUGAAACUGUGACUGCAUUUUAACAGCUCUUUUGCUGUUUAAUAGGUAUCUAUUGGAAAAGCGAUUCUGCUCUGAAAGAAUUCAUCUAAUGUCAUAUGGGGAGUUGAUGAUAGAACCAGAAAUAGAUUCCCAUAUUGGUAAUACCUUGUGGUGUGCUACUUUAUACUGUGCUACAGACGCAGUCUUGCUUUCUCUUCUUGUCUUAUAUCCCCUAGUUUUAGAGAAAUUUUCAGAAAUUUCAGAAACUUUCUCCUUUUGCUUCUUAAUCCAUCUUUCUGCUCUACACACAACUUAAUUUCUGUUAGCUGUGCCAUUAUCUUUUUCAUGUAUUCUGAUGUAUGUUACUCUCAAAUAUAAAAAUCUUAUUUCAUAUUAAAGCUAAUCUACAAUUUUGAUUUAAUAAAUUGGAGCAGGCUCAAGGAAAUCAGACCAAAAAUCAGCUUGUUAAGUUUCAUAUCACCAGCCCUCUGAUAGAUAUAAUAUGGCAAUUUCUGGUGAAUAAAUUGCCAGAAAGUUUUGUAUGCUGUGUCUAAUCACAAUUUCUAUCAGAUAGAAAUUACCACCUACAUCCCAAAGGAUGGAUUUUUUUAUUAUUAUUAUUCUAUACAACUGUGAAAUUAAUUAUGCCAUUUGGGGGUGGGAGUUUAUGGAAAAGACACAAAGAGUGGUUCUUAGGGAAUUAUCUUACUAAAGUUACUUCAAACAUCUAAAUAAACACAAGGCAUUCAUUUUAGAGGGAAAUAUAGUCAUCAAAUGCUUUGAUUCUGCCUAUCAACCCUUUCCUACUUCAAAGUCUCUUCUUCAUUAUUUAGCACCGGUUUUCAUCUUUGUCAUUUUCUUAAAUGCCCUCUUCUGCUCAGCACUUUUGAGACAUUUUCCUAAGUGGGUUGUUUUUUCCACUGGCCCUUGUUGAGCUGCAUCAUUAUUCUGCAUCUUAACUGCACUCUAAUCUUCUUCCUAAUUACAUGUAAUGAGUAUUUUGGAGUUGACAGAAGUACAUCAAGACCUAAUAAUAAAGAAAAUGACUAAAUCUAGUCUUCGCAUUAUAUUCUAUUAGCUCAGAUAGUUGGCAUCUAGUAGAUAUAAAAAUAGAUGUUAUUAAAAACCUCCCAUCUUCCCAAGGUGUUUCAUCCCCUACUCCACAUUGUGUUUCACUGUUCAUAUCAACAAUAGAGUUUUCUGCCACAGCGAAGAUUUACAGAGUCAGAACGGAGCAUUUAGCGCAAAGUCCUGUCUGCGCUGGAGCUGAGUCUAAAUGACAGCUGGGACCAGAAUUCAUCCCUCAGUUGUGAAGUUCGGUAUCAAUUACAUAUGCCCAUAAUAUAUGAAGGUGCUAAAAAAGGUGAUUCUCAGCACGCAGGAGGAGUGAGGAUAUUUAGCAUUUCUUAGGAUAAGUGUCUUUUUUCCCUCUAUUUCUUACUGAAAAGAAACAGAUUUUGUUCAUUUUAUGACUGAAGAGCGCAGUUUUUUAUUUUAUUUUGUUACUGGAUUAGCAAAUAUUCUAUUACUUAUGGCCUAUUUCCAGAAGAUUUGCUUAAAAUGUAAAUGUAGAAGAGGUCUUAUAGUAUGACAGAUUUUUCUUCCAUCCAUUUGAGUCUUUCAAAUUUUCUUAUCUGGUCAUUAAUCUAUGGUUAUUUACAUUACAAUGUGUGCACUACAGUAUCUACCACUCAGAAACAGAAAAAGUCUGGAGAUUAUAAAAUAGGAGUUUUGAACUGGUGCUGAGCCACAGGCUCUGCAUCCAAGCUCUCCCAAGGUUAGGAGUUUGGAUUGAUGUUCCUCUGAGUUUGGAAUCUGAAUGCAAAAAUGGCUCAUAGACAAGUUAAUGUAACCUAUGGGGAAAUAUUAUCCUCACCUUUUUCGCAGUCUUUUGCUUCUCUUCUUCAGUUGCAGCCCUCUAAAAUACGGGAUAAAUUUUGAAAAAGUACCUCCUAGCAGAGAGAGAACAGUUACAGCAGGGAUUUAAAUAUUUAAUCAAGUCCAUAAGUCACUAUCUUCAUAUUUUCAAGAAAGGCUCACAGGCUUAUAUCUUCGUAGCUAGGAGAAAUGCAGCAUAAUGUUAUGUUACUUUCACUAGUCCCCGUCUUAGAGCAACCUCAGUAACUGUUUGGAAUAGAUUAAUUAAACUCGGAAUUAACCCUUAAACACAAGUCAGGAUGUAAUUUUAUCAUACAAAAGCAAUUUAUUGAAAAGCAUAAAGACCUUCGAUGGUCUGACCCAGACCUGCUCAGCUGCCUUCACUGUUCCCAGAAAGGGUUCUCAGAUCAGCAGCUCAGUCCACAUCUAAUUUCCAGCUCUUUGUUUUCUCUUCUCCUUCCCUCCACUAAGAGCCAUAUACUUUGCUUCCUAUCACUCAAGAGGACCAUCUCAUAAUAGAAAGACUCAUCCCAGCAACCUUCAGAUAGUCUGGAAAGUCAUUUCCCAUACAAAAUGCUGAAAGAACUUGUCAGAUUAAAGGCGCUCCCUUGUGAAGUGCCAUUUUGAAGCAGAAGUGUGAUCAGACUAAGAGAUUGCAUAUUAGCUGCUUGAGUGGUGGAAAUGAAACUUGUUAACAAUUCGCCUGUUCCUCACAGAAAAAUGGCCCCGGUGAGAUUUAACCCAGCUGAUCUUUCCUAAAGACAAUUACAGGAUGCAAAUAUUUAUAAAUCACUCAUUUAUUUUAUGCCCGUUGAUAUGUUAGACACAAUCUCCGUGUUUCCAACAAAGCUGGAACAAAUGCUGCCCGUUAUCUCCCUUCUCCUGGCUGCUGCUGGACGGAGGGUCCAGCAAAGGCAGAGAAAGGCUCUUUGUCCUGGCCGCGGCUUCGCUCAGAUGCGCCUUCUGCUCUAUCUGAGCUGGCUGCAUGGCCGUCCUUCCAGAUUAUCACAACCGGUUGUCUGGGAUAAGUAAUGUUUUCCUGCAAUACAUGUACCUAGCUUGCUCAGACUUUAUUGCUCCUGUUUUAUAAACUUCUAGAGAUCCGUUGUGAUAUUUGAACCCAAAAAAAUCCCUCCAAAAGUUUCAGGUGUUGAAAUGCAAUGGAAAAAAAAUCAUUUACCAAUUUCCGCUUUCAUUAAUACCAUCCCUCUCCCCUCCCGCUUCCCUCCCCACAGAAAUACACACUCCCAGCCCUUUCUCGCCGUGCUUUUCCCACCUCCGGGCCCAGACCGUGUGCAGCCUUCCCGGACGAGCGGCUGCUUUUGCUUUCCUUCUUUUGCAAGCCAGAGUUGAUGAAAUGUUAACAUUUCUGAUACAUUGCCAUAUUUGCAGUGAUUUGAGGACCUGUGUGAAAAUGAAUUGUGUUUAUAUAAAUAAAAGCUAAUAAAUGUAAAUUGUGUAACUAGUACCUGUCAUAUCUAUACUGUGUUUUUAAGACCUGCCCUGGGCUAGUGAGUGAUAUAUUGCCAAAGUGCCACUGGCCCAGAAAAGGAGGGAAAUUAUAAACAGAGAUAAGACAUUUGAUCAUAAAUGGCUUGCAAAUCUUAAAUAUUAUGAACAUUACGAUUUUUCACCCCGAUGUGUGUGUUAUGUGUUGCA